UACAGAGGGUGCAAGCGUUGUUCGGAAUUAUUGGGCGUAAAGCGACCGCAGGCGGCCUGACAAGUCGGAUGUGAAAGCCCUGGGCUCAACUCAGGAACUGCAUUCGAAACUGGUAGGCUCGAGUACGGGAGAGGGGGGUGGGAUUCCUGGUGUAGGGGUGAAAUUCGUUGAUAUCAGGAGGAACACCGGCGGCGAAGGCGGCCCCCUGGCCCGCAACUGACGCUCAUGGUCGAAAGCGUGGGGAGCAAACAGG
rnacentral:rRNA from 1 species